UACGUAGGGUGCGAGCGUUAAUCGGAAUUACUGGGCGUAAAGCGUGCGCAGGCGGUUAUUUAAGACAGGUGUGAAAUCCCCGGGCUUAACCUGGGAAUUGCGCUUGUGACUGGAUGGCUAGAGUACGGCAGAGGGGGGUGGAAUUCCACGUGUAGCAGUGAAAUGCGUAGAGAUGUGGAGGAACACCGAUGGCGAAGGCAGCCCCCUGGGCCGAUACUGACGCUCAUGCACGAAAGCGUGGGGAGCAAACAGG
rnacentral:rRNA from 1 species